rnacentral:rRNA from 1 species
ACUCAAAGGAAUUGACGGGGGCCCGCACAAGCGGUGGAGCAUGUGGAUUAAUUCGUCACUAACCGAAGAACCUUACCCAGGUUUGACAUCUAUCGCACCGGGGUGAAAGCCCCGUUCCCUUCGGGGACGGUAAGACAGGUGUUGCAUGGCUGUCGUCAGCUCGUGUCGUGAGAUGUUGGGUUAAGUCCCGCAACGAGCGCAACCCUCACCUGAUGUUGGCAGCGUAAAGUCGGCAACUCUUCAGGAACUGCCCGUGCAAGCGGGAGGAAGGUGGGGACGACGUCAAGUCGGCAUGGCCCUUACGCCUGGGGCUUCACACAUGCUACAAUGGGCGCCACAGACCGCGCCGAUGCCGCGAGGCGGAGGAAAUCGGACAAAAGCGCCCUCAGUUCGGAUUGCAGGCUGCAACUCGCCUGCAUGAAGCCGGAAUCGCUAGUAACCGCAGGUCAGCGAAACUGCGGUGAAUACGUUCCCGGGCCUUGUACACACCGCCCGU